GAGAGUGAGAGUGAACUGCAUAGUUGCCAAGUUGGGGAAAAUUUCCGGAGAUCUAGGGAUUUUUACUCGACAAUGCAAUUUUGUCAAGGAAUCAUCUCAAAGAUGACUACAAAAUGAAGAUGAUUCCAAAUCACACGAAAUCGAGACUGAAGAUUUCAGCUUCAAAUAUACAAUUCCUGGUACGGGAUUGAAACCAGAAGUCCAUAUGUUAUUAAUCGUUCC